UCNUACGGNAGGCAGCAGUGGGGAAUAUUGCGCAAUGGGCGAAAGCCUGACGCAGCGACGCCGCGUGGGGGAUGACGGCCUUCGGGUUGUAAACCUCUUUCAGCAGGGACGAAGCGCAAGUGACGGUACCUGCAGAAGAAGCACCGGCCAACUACGUGCCAGCAGCCGCGGUAAUACGUAGGGUGCAAGCGUUGUCCGGAAUUAUUGGGCGUAAAGAGCUCGUAGGCGGUCUGUCGCGUCGGCUGUGAAAUCCCGAGGCUCAACCUCGGGUCUGCAGUCGAUACGGGCAAACUGGAGUGUUGCAGGGGAGACUGGAAUUCCUGGUGUAGCGGUGAAAUGCGCAGAUAUCAGGAGGAACACCGGUGGCGAAGGCGGGUCUCUGGGCAACAACUGACGCUGAGGAGCGAAAGCGUGGGGAGCGAACAGGAUUAGAUACCCUGGUAGUCCACGCCGUAAACGUUGGGCGCUAGGUGUGGGGCUCAUUCCACGAGUUCCGUGCCGCAGCUAACGCAUUAAGCGCCCCGCCUGGGGAGUACGGCCGCAAGGCUAAAACUCAAAGGAAUUGACGGGGGCCCGCACAAGCGGCGGAGCAUGUUGCUUAAUUCGAUGCAACGCGAAGAACCUUAC
rnacentral:rRNA from 1 species